rnacentral:tRNA from 1 species
UCAAAAGAGAAGGACUUAAACCUCCAUUCCCGGCCCCCAAAACCGAAAUCUUUUAUUAAACUAUCUUUUG